rnacentral:rRNA from 1 species
UACGGGGGGAGCAAGCGUUGUUCGGAUUUACUGGGCGUAAAGGGCGCGUAGGCGGCCACCGCAAGUCAAUUGUGAAAUCUCCGGGCUUAACUCGGAAAGGUCAACUGAUACUGCGGGGCUAGAGUGCGGAAGGGGCAACUGGAAUUCCCGGUGUAGCGGUGAAAUGCGCAGAUAUCGGGAAGAACACCCGUGGCGAAGGCGGCUCUCUGGGACGGUACUGGCGCUGAGACGCGAAAGCGUGGGGAGCGAACAGG